AGUAACGCGUGGAAGACCUGCCGUAUACUGGGGGAUAACACUUAGAAAUAGGUGCUAAUACCGCAUAAGCGCACAGCUUCGCAUGAAGUGGUGUGAAAAACUCUGGUGGUAUACGAUGGUUCCGCGUCUGAUUAGCUUGUUGGUGGGGUAAUGGCUCACCAAGGCGACGAUCAGUAGCCGGCCUGAGAGGGUGAACGGCCACAUUGGGACUGAGACACGGCCCAAACUCCUACGGAAGGCAGCAG
rnacentral:rRNA from 1 species